UCUCCUGUAGGAUUUGGGCUAGCCCCUUCUGAAGGGACAGGGACUCCCUUAGCAGGCACGGGCUGUGGUCAUAUUUCUUUUCUCUUUUUCUUACCUAACUUUUUUGGGGUAGCCUAGGCUGACCUUUGAGGAUAGCCCAAGUGCUAACACUUCAGGUGUGUGACACCAGGCCUGGCCACUGUCACAUUUUGGGUUUAGCAGCCUUUUGCAUGUACUUACUGACUGGAGAGUUGUUUAUUCAUGCUUUGCCCAUGUCAAAACUGGAUAACUGAUUCUUCUCUUUCACCUACAAGUUUGACCCGGAAGGGCAUUUUCACGAGCCUAUUGCCUAGGGAGAAGGUUUGUAAAUGAUAGACACAGGCAAGGUGGCGCCAGAGGAGGCUGAGGUGGGAGUCCCUAGGAAAGAUCCAAGGGUCAGUCAGAUGGCAAAGAUCUGAAGAAAUACUGGACCAUUGGAGAGUUCUGAGUGGGAAAGUGCAAACUUCAGGAUGGGCCAUGUGGAGACUUCUGGGGCUGAGACGUGACUAACACAUUUCCAUCCUGAAGGAUGUGGUGGACUGGCAUGGGACUAGAGUAAGGGAUGACGUUUAGUCAUCAUUUCCUGUGUGUGAGGAAUUGGUGUUUGUAUGUGAAAUCAAAGGAUGACUUGAACUGGGUCUUUCUGUCUCUGCCUUCCAAGUUCUGGGAUCACAGGUGUCAACCACCACACUUGGUUUCUGUAGCGCUGGGAUCAUAUCCAGGGCCCUGUGAGUUCUAGACAAGCGCUCUGCCAACUGAGGGGCAUGCUACCCCUUGAAAUGCUCUUCGCUGUUCUAUUAAGUGACAGGUAGCUAGGAUGGACGAAUAUGCUAAAUUUAUCCUUUUUUAGUAAAACAUGACGUCUUAUGGAAAAGUAGUACAAAAAUACAAGUAUUAAUGAAUUAAAGACACCUUGGUAUUUCCUU
rnacentral:lncRNA from 1 species